rnacentral:rRNA from 1 species
CUGGAUUCGUCUAGGGGAAAGUGGCGGACGGGUGGGUAACACGUAGAUGACCUGCCCCGAAGAGAGGGACAACCCGCCGAAAGGCGAGCUAAUACCUCAUAAGCUCACGAGUUUUAGAAUCUUGUGAGAAAAGCUCCGACGCUUCGGGAGGGGUCUGCGGGCCAUCAGCUAGUUGGCGGGGUAACAGCCCACCAAGGCAAUGACGGCUAGGGGGCCUGAGAGGGUGACCCCCCACACGGGGACUGAGACACGGCCCCGACUCCUACGGGAGGCAGCAGUAAGGGAUAUUGCACAAUGGGCGCAAGCCUGAUGCAGCAACGCCGCGUGCAUGAUGAAGGCCUUCGGGUCGUAAAAUGCUUUUCUGGCUGAGGAAAGCGGCCUUCGGGUCGUGUGACUGUAGGUCAGGAAUAAGUGUCGGCUAACUACGUGCCAGCAGCCGCGGUAAAACGUAGGACGCAAGCGUUAUCCGGAGUUACUGGGCGUAAAGCGCGGGCAGGCGGUUCUUUAAGUCUGAUGUGAAAUCUCCCGGCUCAACCGGGAGCAGCCAUUGGAAACUAGGGAACUGGAGGGCGAGAGAGGUAGGCGGAAUUCCGGGUGGAGUGGUGAAAUGCGUAGAGAUCCGGAGGAACACCAGAGGCGAAGGCGGCCUACUGGCUCGCACCUGACGCUGAGCCGCGAAAGCCAGGGGAGCGAACGGGAUUAGAAACCCCGGUAGUCCUGGCCGUAAACGAUGUGUGCUGGGUGGUGGGGGGUCUCCCUUCACUGCCGAAGCUAACGCGAUAAGCACACCGCCUGGGGAGUACGGUCGCAAGGCUAAAACUCAAAGGAAUUGACGGGGGCCCGCACAAGCAGCGGAGCGUGUGGUUUAAUUCGAGGCAACGCGAAGAACCUUACC